UGCCGACCUGGCGCGUGGUGAGCGCGCGGUACUUGUCGCGUGCCUCGGCCGGCUUGUUCUCGGCCAGCAGCAGGCGG
rnacentral:tRNA from 1 species